GGGAGAGGUUCUUUCAAGGGCAAGAUGUGAAUAAGUAUUCUAUAUAUAUACAUGCCCUCCCAGGGUUUGUGCUAAGUAUUUCUAAUACCUCAGUUUUUUACAAGAGGCAAAUUCCAAGUCAGCAUGUUGAAUGGGGAUCAGUAACACUUGUUGAUGCUGAGAAGAGGCUAAUGGCAAAUGCUCUGCUCGACUUCUCAAAUGAGCGGUUUGUCCUCCUUUCUGAGAGCUGCAUUCCAGUUUACAAUUUCCCAACUGUCUACAAGUAUCUGAUAGGAUCCAUUCAUAGUUUUGUUGAAUCAUAUGAUGAUCCUUCUCGCUAUGGGCGUGGGCGCUAUAACCGCCAUAUGAGACCUGAUAUCAAACUUCCUGAUUGGCGAAAAGGAUCGCAAUGGUUUGAGAUGAAUCGGACUUUAGCUGUUAGAGUAGUUUCAGAUACCAAAUACUACGAUCUCUUCGAAAGAUUUUGCAAGCCUGCUUGCUAUCCAGAUGAGCACUAUAUUCCUACUUUGAUUCGAUUGUUCCACGGACCUUUAAAUGCAAACCGAACAGUGACGUAUGUUGACUGGUCCUUAGGGGGACCACACCCUGCUGCAUUCAGCGCAGUAAAUAUUACUGAAGGUUUUUUACAGUUGAUAAGGAACAAUGGAACAGCAUGUGCAUACAACUCAGAGAAGACACAUGUUUGUUACCUCUUUGCUAGGAAGUUUAAUCCAAGUGCUCUAGAACCUUUACUGAACCUAAGUUCCAAAGUGAUGGAAUACUGAAGAGGAUUUUUGAGAGACAAGGGUAUCUUUUUUCACCCUUUCCUUGUGAUUCAUAUUGAUGUUAGAUCCUUUGCUCACAAGUGUAGGUUUGCAUUAUGAUUACUUUUCACUCCUGUAGUACAUGGUUUAGAAUUUCUUGGGGAGGAUUUAGGUCCUUAAAAUUGAGAGGAGGUAUUAAUUUUCUUGUGUAGACGACGUUAAAUUUGCCAUUAUUUUUUUGUAGCUGGG
rnacentral:misc_RNA from 1 species